ACCCAGUACUCAGUAAUUUAUUAUUGUUUGCUGUUGACAUUAACAUUUUCUUUAAGAGUAUUUCUUCAUCUGUAAAAUGAGAAUAAAAAUUGUAAAAUUUGUACCUACUUCUAGCCUCAUAGAGUUGUUUUGAUGAUUAUGUCAGAAAGCUUGUAAAAAUCUUAGGCCUAUUUCGUGACAUAUAGUAAAUGCCCCAUGUGCUAACUGAGGAUGAUCAUUAUAGGAAAAUUUCAUAGACUAUGAGGGAAAGCCAUGCCUAAAAUAAUCUCCAGCUGAUUAAGAAGUGCAUUCCUUUUUGUUUGUUUUAUCUGAGACAGAGUCUCACUGUGUCGCCAGGCUGGAGUGCAGUGGCACAAUCUCAGCUCACUGCAACCUCCACCUCCCAGGUUCACACCAUUCUCCUGCCUCAGCCUCCCGAGUAGCUGGGACUACAGGUGCCUACCACCAUGCCCAGCUAAUUUUUGUAUUUUUUGUAGAGACGUGGUUUCACCAUGUUGGCCAGGCUGGUCUCGAACUUCUGACCUCAGGUGAUCCACCUGCCUCAGUCUCCCAAAGUGCUGGGAUUACAGGUGUGAACCACCGUGUCCGACCCAAUCUU